rnacentral:tRNA from 1 species
GCCGACGUAGCUCAGCGGUAGAGCAGCGGUUUUGUAAACCGCUGGUCGGAGGUUCAAAUCCUCUCGUCGGCU